rnacentral:rRNA from 1 species
AUUGAACGCUGGCGGCAGGCCUAACACAUGCAAGUCGAGCGGAUGACGGGAGCUUGCUCCUUGAUUCAGCGGCGGACGGGUGAGUAAUGCCUAGGAAUCUGCCUGGUAGUGGGGGACAACGUUUCGAAAGGAACGCUAAUACCGCAUACGUCCUACGGGAGAAAGCAGGGGACCUUCGGGCCUUGCGCUAUCAGAUGAGCCUAGGUCGGAUUAGCUUGUUGGUGAGGUAAUGGCUCACCAAGGCGACGAUCCGUAACUGGUCUGAGAGGAUGAUCAGUCACACUGGAACUGAGACACGGUCCAGACUCCUACGGGAGGCAGCAGUGGGGAAUAUUGGACAAUAGGCGAAAGCCUGAUCCAGCCAUGCCGCGUGUGUGAAGAAGGUCUUCGGAUUGUAAAGCACUUUAAGUUGGGAGGAAGGGUUGUAGAUUAAUACGCUGCAAUUUUGACGUUACCGACAGAAUAAGCACCGGCUAACUCUGUG